CAUAAUCUUUUGAGUGCCCCAAGGCUUCUGGAUCUAAACUCUUAAUUUGUUCUAAGUAAUUACAUUCAAGAAUUGACCGUUGUUCGAAGCAAUGAAAAUGAAGGUUUUGUUUGGCCUAUAUGCUCUGCUUCCAGGGCAAGAUGCCAAGUCUCUGAGCAUGUCUGGGCAUGAAGAAGGGACCAGAAGAAGGGACCUUUGUGGUCCAGGAGCUUGCACCUUUGAAUGGAUAUUAAACGGAUUUUAUGGCAUGCUGUGAGCACAGACCUGACUCACUGCAUACAGCUCAGCUGGACAGGAAUCUAAAUCAGGAAGCUGCAAGUUAGCAUUACCAGAAUGAAGAAGGAGAGAGAGAGGGAGAUGCUGUCACCUAAGAAAUGAAACUGCCACCGCUAACAAAACCAGGAAUGGGACACUAGCACAGGACACAGAAGCGGGGCUCCAAAGACCACAGCGCAUAGUUUGGGUAAAACAACAGUGCCCUCUUCUGGCGACAAUGAAGAACGAAUUACUGUUCAGAAGGGUCUGACAACAUUCACAACCAACUUACUGAAAAAGAAAAAACUAUAAGGCCCCUGAUUUUCUGUCCUCUGAAACACCAGCUUUGGACACCUGGCACAUACACAGUGGAUUCACAAGAAGAAGAGAGGAAAUAAAUUGCUUGGUUUACUUUGCUUCGUGUUGACAGAUGUGAUAAAGGUGUGACAAAUGGGAAGCUGGAAUCAAUUGACUAAAAUUAUGUAGUUUUUUUUUUAAUCCAUUUUUACUCUUUAUCCAUAAUUGAUUAAACAUCAUACCAGAUCAUUCUUUCAUUCUGGCACAGUGUACCCACUCAAGAUUGGCACAUCAAUUCGCAAGCAAAGGAAUGUCCUAAUCAAAUUGCUCUUUUAAAUUUAGUUCAGACACAGUUUCUUAACUGUGGAAUGAAGCACUGUUUCCCCAGCUAGGAUCAAAACCCCAAAUAUUGAGAGAAACAUCUCUUCCCACUUCAAUGUCUGCAAUCCAAAUGUCCGGGGGAGCUCUGUGUGUCCUCCUGGAAGGACCUGGAGAGAAAAUGCAGCAGAAAACAAAGGAAGCAUUUAACUUCUUGGCUGUAUCCAGCAACUGUGACAUUGUGUUUAAAAACCAAAGAUACAUAGAUUAUGCUAAAGUUUGAAAUCUUUAUACUGGACAAUGGUUUACAGAUGCAAAGGACGUUGUCAG